UGGGGAAGAGUGAUACAUUAGGAGUGAUAAUAAAAUAAUGGCUCUGGAAGCCUUAUUUCGUGAUUGAAACAAGAAAACAUAGUGAGUUUCUAACAAAUGAUAAGAAAGGUGACAUACAAAGUUUAACCAGUGAAAAGAUCUACCAAGAAUUACCUCAAAAUUGCCACAAAACGUAACCAUAUUUUACCAAAACAAUGCUUGGAUUUUCACGAGUUUUGGUAAACAAAAAUCUGGUAUCGCGUGAUGUUUGAGGUUUGACAAGCUGUUGGAUAAGAACGCCGACAGGUCUAAACGGUUGUUAGACUGGCCAGAUCAAUGCAAGAGGAGCUCUAUCUAGCGUCUAAAUUAAGCGCAUUUAGUAACUUUAAAAAGGUGAAACUUGAACCCACAAGUGACUAUGUAGUCAACCAACGACGCUCGAGCCCAUCCAUCUUUACAGACGGACAGAAAAAUACAUACAUCUUCCCUCAGGCCCGUAAUGAGUCGGGGGAAUAUCAUAAACACACACUUAACGCCAAUUACUUGUCAGCAUCAAACCUCAACCUCUUGUUGGAUAACGCAGCAAACUCUUCCAACGUGGCUAGUGUAUAUAAAAGGUGUGGCAUUAAACGAAAACGAGGUGAUAUAAACAAUCUAGAUCUACAGAUGCAGUUAACACUUACGGAAGCGACUGCGAUCUCUAGCGAUGAUGACAACGGAAAUACUACGACCACCACUUCCAAAACCACGAGUUCCUCAAACAAUGAGGGUGACUAUACCCUCGUUCAGCAUGAGGUCUUGUAUUCGAUGACUAAUUCGUAUGAAGUUUUGGAGUUUCUUGGACGCGGGACGUUCGGGCAAGUUGUCAAAUGUUGGAAGAAGGGAACCAAUGAAAUCGUAGCAAUAAAAAUUUUGAAAAAUCAUCCUUCAUAUGCACGUCAAGGUCAAAUUGAAGUUAAUAUUUUGUCACGAUUAAGUCAAGAGAAUGCAGAUGAGUUCAAUUUUGUGCGAGCACAUGAGUGCUUUCAGCAUAAAAGUCACACGUGCCUGGUGUUUGAAAUGCUGGAACAGAAUUUGUAUGAUUUCUUGAAACAUAACAAGUUCCAACCAUUACCAUUAAAAUAUAUCCGUCCCAUAACGCAACAAGUGCUAACAGCUUUAUUGAAGUUAAAAAAUUUAGGAUUAAUUCAUGCGGAUCUUAAACCAGAGAACAUUAUGUUGGUUGAUCCAGUACGGUUUCCGUACAGGGUCAAGGUUAUUGACUUUGGAUCAGCAAGCCAUGUCUCAAAAGCUGUUUGUUCAACAUAUCUACAGUCAAGAUAUUAUAGGGCACCAGAGAUUCUGCUUGGUCUGCCAUUCUGUGAAUCGAUAGACAUGUGGUCACUAGGAUGUGUAAUAGCGGAACUGUUCCUAGGUUGGCCUCUCUACCCGGGGUCAUCAGAGUAUGAUCAGAUUCGGUACAUUUCACAGACUCAGGGUCUGCCUGCAGAACACAUGCUGAGCAACGCCACAAAAACUACACGGUUCUUUAUUCGAGAAAAUACAGAUAGCAACUACCCAUUUUGGCGAUUGAAGACACCUGAAGAACAUGAGUUAGAGACAAAAAUCAAAUCAAAAGAAGCUAGAAAGUACAUUUUCAACUGUAUUGAUGACAUGGCACAGAUCAAUGUACCAACAGAUCUGGAAGGAAGUGAGCUGCUGGCUGAACAAGUUGACAGACGGGAGUUUAUCGACCUUCUCAAGAGAAUGUUGACCUUAGAUCAAGAGAGACGUAUCAAACCCGGCGAGGCCUUGAACCAUCACUUCAUACGAAUGGCCCAUCUUGUUGACUAUGCUCACUGUGGAAUAGUGAAACAGAAUGUUCAGGCUAUGGAAGUGUGUCGACGACCAAUCAAAUCUCUGUAUGAUGUGAACCAGAACACCGGUUCCCUAGUACCAAACUUUGUUCCAGUGUCAACCAACAACCUGACUGUGACGUUCAAUAACCAAAUGAAUGCUUUGCACUCACAGAAUGGUCAUACAACUGGUACAGAGAUUCAGUACCUGCCGUACCCUAUGUCUCGAACAUAUCUACCAUACCAGAGUCAACAUUUGAACCAGGCUUUACCAACACAACGGGGAAGUACUCAGUUCAGUCGGACAGAUCCAUUCACACAAUCAUUAUGCGUGUCUUCAAUAGUAGUACCAGGCUUGCAAGGUUUGAACUCUCCUACAAGGUAUAAUCCUGUUCCCAUGGUAACACAGGCUGGCCCCACCCUACAAAUACAGCCACAGCUAAUCACACAGAAACCAAGAAUGAGUGCACCAAUGAGUGGUUGGCCGGCAACACAACAAGUAUUGGUUGGACCAUUUCAGCAGAUACCAGGUCUUACAGCGGCAGCUGCUGCAGCUUCUAACCAGCGACCUGUGACCCAGCAGAUCCUACCAGAGAACCUUGCUCACCAACAAAUGUUGUCAGACAAUUGGAGACAGUCUAUCGUCCUGGACGGUUUUGAUCAGACCUCACUAGCACAACUGGGUGCACAGCAACAAGCCUGGAACCUUGGUAUGGUACCAUUUGGUCUGACCUCAAAUAGACAUGGGUCUUCACAGUCCAGUAAGAGACAGCCAAAACAGAGAGUUACUAAGGAGCAGGCCUCCACGCAGCUCUCACCGGUGAAGAAACGUGUCAAAGAAAAUACACCUCCUCAGAGUAACCAUGGAAAUCACAAUACUAGAGCACCUGUCAUGCAGGCAGAAACACUGGUACCUGCAACAUGGGCAGAAACUCUACCAACAGUGAAGUAUACAGGUUCCCGUCGGGAACAUAGACAGACGAUCGUGAUCGCUGACUCACCAAGCCCAUCUGUCAGCGUGAUUACAAUAAGUUCCGAUAGUGAAGAAGAUGAGGACAGUAAAGUUAUACGAAGACAACAAAGAGAAAAACAAGCUGCUCAGCAGUUUAUAACAGAUCCAGCUGUGCUUGAAAGUGCAUUAGGAGAUAGUUUCGGCACGCCAGUGAGCAGAAAGAAUGUAAUAAACCAUGUGUCAGCUGAAAAUUUGAGCUCAAAACAGGUGAUGCUCACACCAAUCAAACAUGAAGAUGUUGAGAGUAAUGUGUUAAAUGAUGCUUACUUGUUUGGUAGUCAGCUUGGUGUCACAGUAGAUGAGACCACGGCACUUAUUCCGCCAAAUUUACGUGUAAACUCUGUGCGGAAAGAGCCAAGACAAGCACAUUCAAACAAUGAUAAAGUUUCGAACCUGGUGUCUAAUUCAAAACACAACUCUCUUAUGAGUCAUACUAUGACAGAUAAAUAUAAGGAUAACAGUCCACGGCUUGAUAUGAGAUUGCCGCCGGAUCUGGAAAAGACAAUGUUAGCGGCUCAGGGGAAGCUGGCGUACGUGUCCCCAACUGUUAGACAGAGUAAUAAUCUAAACAGACAUACAUUUCACGGGUCUACAAGUCAGAGCCAGAAGCAGACGGGUGGAGCAGGAAGUUUGGGUUUCAUGGCAAGGCAGACAGGAGGUAGUAUGUCCCAGCUAUCACCAGCUCAGCCACAGCUUCAGCUAGGGCAGCCAACUGUGUUACUGAAUCCAGGAUCACAGGUGGACCUUCACAGGGACUACAGAAGGCGACAAGGAAGCCCCAUCCACCACUACCUAGUUCCUGCCCAUCAACAGCCUCAAGUUGGCAUCCCAGCAGGGCUUGGACAGUUCGGACCCUUCUCUCCUACAAUAGCUCCACCUCCAGCCCACCAGAGUCCACGGCAUGUUCAGUAUGCGGCUCAUCCAUUACCGGCACAUGUACAUCCAGUGCUUCAGACAACGUCCAUACCUGGGACCUAUCAUUCUCAGUUACCGCAGUACCCUACAUUAAGUACAGCUACAACGGGACUGUACACAUCAUACCAGAUGUCACCAACGAAAGCUCGACCAUAUCAGUACUUUGCUGGUUAAAGAAAACGUUUCCUUAAAAUGUUACUAACUUGCAUUUAUUUGCUAGUUUAUAACUGUCCUUGAAACAGCUUGGCGUUGCCAGAUACAACCGCUCAAAGGAAUCUCUAGCAAAAAUUCUGUAUGGUGAAGGAUCAUUUUCUUCUUGGUAUCGAUGAUCAAGGAAUUAAGACGGCAGAAAUUUGCUAUCAAAGGUUGACGAGACAGGUGUUCUGUCUAACACAAGUUUUCAAGCUAAUAGUGUUGUCUUAGUAUUGAUAUGUUUCCUGUAAACUGUACAUAUAUAGAGCUAAAAACAGAUUAUCACUGCCCAAUUUACGCACUUGAUGUAAAAACAUAAUAAAUUUGGCAAUACAUGCUUUUUAUUGGGUAUAGAGGUUUUAUUCAGCAUUGUAGUUUUAUUCUUAUUGCAUUUGUUGAGGUAAAUAGUUAAUGUAUUUUCUAUCAUUUGUGGAAAUGUAUUGGUUUGUGAGCAAGAAUUUGUGUACCGAUAUUUUACGUUGUGGCGUCUUUGGAAAAAUUACUACAGUAAAUGUGGGUUUAUCUGUGAUUUAUAUAGCCUUAACCUGUCUCAGAAUACUUGGAAUUUGAUUUUCAUGUGAGGGUAAACAUCUGAAAAAUAUGGUCAUUUGGACUUGAGAGUUAACUUAUGCGUCCAUAGUAAGUUAAACCCACCAAUUCAAGUGACAUUUACUUCUGAUGUCGUGGAUUGAGCAUUAAGUAAAAAGAGUUAUGUUAAGGAGUUUGUUUGAUUUUUCCUUAAAUUUUUGUUUGGUUGCCUUGAUUAGUUUUAGCUUGAUAACAUUAUACAGCUUUCUGAAUAUUUAAUCAAGAUUUUAGCUUGAACAUGCUUGUAGUGGUUUUAAUUUGGGUUUCUACAAUUAAUUUUUAUUGUAUGUUGAUUUUUUUUAUCAAAUAAUAGCGUUUUAGCUUCCUUUACGUUUUACUACAACAUUUAAUCUAAAUUUGUCACUUUUCCCAUAUCAGAAGGCACAAUAUAGUAUUUUAGCUUUCAUUUUAGUACUGGAUAUUUAAUCCAUUGCAUUUUUAUCGAUGUGAAUUUUUUUCACUUUGAAGGGAGUUAGUAAUGCCAGUUAAGUUAACAUUUUACUCUAUAUAUAUGUUUCAUGUUAUCUUGUAUUUAUAUAGGAAUAAAUUAACAUAUGUUUUUCUGUCAUCAUCUGGACACCAAUACCACUUUUCAUGUAUUGAAUGUUACGGUUAUUAGUUGGAGAUGUGCACAAUAUGUGUUUGGUGUAAAUGAACUUUAAAUCCCACCGUGCGAAGAUGUGUUGAGAAAAUGGUUUAAAUGAACUUAAUAGAAAGCCUGUCAGUGCUUUAUAACCUAUCGUGCUCAUAUUUCUCACGGGUAACAUUUAUUGUAUUGAAAUUACUGAAAAAAAAAAUUUGUGACGUUAUAAAUGAAAUUGAAAUUUGUUGAAAAAAAUCUCCAUUCUACUUAAAAUUACAGUGAAGAAAGUGUCUUAGAUUUACAUGUACAAUUGUAGGAUGUUGUAGAUGUUACAGCUUUUGUGGAAUGGUACGUUUUGGUACUUUUGUAUGUAAGUACGUGAUAAGAAAAGUGAAGGCUGGCUUGUAUUUUUACUUGCCCUGAAUUUAAUAUAGUGGGAAUCACUAAUAUGUGUUCGUUAUGGAAACUGAUUUAUAUUGUACAUUGCAAAUCAGAGUUAGCAUAUUUUUGCAUAUUCAGUAAGCAUGUGUCUUUUUUCAAAUCAUAUUUAACUUUAUAAUUUUUAAAAACGAUGUAUAUAAUUCUAGUUCUGUCAUUAGGUCAAACUUGUGUACAUACGUAAAUAGCUUAAACUUUUAUCGAAGGCUAUUUUUAUACAUUUAUCAGUUGAAUCAUUACCAAUUAAAUUGUACAUAUGAUUAUACAAGAGGAAAAUGGGGUGCCAUUUUGUUUUAUUAUCACCACCUAUUAUUCUGUAUAUAUAGAAAUACGUGUAAAUGAUCACCUCUGAUUUACUUGUUUGUAUACCAAGUAUUAGCACAUUCUGCAUAUUUAUUAGAGCUUCAUAUUAAAAUAGUUUUGCCCCUAGAUUGUAUUGUGUGAUUUGACUUUUUUUUGUUUUUUUUUUUAAAAAUAAGAGUCAUUUAUGGAAUUAGAAAUGAUUUAUGUAUUCCUGUGAGUUAUUUAAAUAUCUUUGAUUGAGUACACAGUGUCUAGUGAUUUUAAUGGAAAAGAAAUAUUGCUAUAUGGAAUGGUAAAGGUUUUAGGAAGUUUUCAUGUUAGAAAAAUGUUGACUUACUUGCAGAUUAUGGAUAAAAUACUUUGCAGAUCAUGGAUACAAUACUACCUUUUUAGUAGCAAUUUUAGUACAAGUCAGAAUGUUUUAAUCAUUAUUGUACGUAUUAAUUAUUUUGGGUUAAAAAUGGUAAAUUCAUUUAAAAGAAAUGAAGGAUGUUGUAAUUUUUCGUGAAAGAUUAAGUAACAGCUGUUUUAUUUUAGUAUUGGUUAAAGUUGAAUAAUCCCUAGUUAUUAGUGUAGCAGUGUAUUUUUAUAUCAGAUUGAUUGUAUUAUGUAAAUACUAGUGGCAUAAUUUUGAAUUAAGAAGGUGCAAUUUUUGUAGUGUUGAGCUUAGUGACCUGAUGUGUAUAUAAUUGUUCUCUUGUAGUAGGCUGUUGGAAUGUGCAGUUUUCGCGAUGUCAUAAAGGAAAUGACAUACUUUUAUAUGAGUAAUGACCCUUAUUUCAACUGGUGAGAGUAAGGGUGUAUACAACACUUUCGAAACAAUGUAUUUUUGUACUUAAAUGGUCCCAAGUUUAUAUAGAAGUUAAACUAAUUACUGUGACCAUAGUAAGUAUGAUAGUAUGGAAAUUUUAAAGAGUAGAUUUAGAUGAAAUAAAGCACAAAGAGGCAUAUGAAAGAACAAGGCUCUGAUAAACGGACCAAAAAUGUUGUUACACAGAAGAUAAAAUGCUACACUGCAGAUAAAGUUUGUUGUAACAAAAAUGUCUCAAGGCUUAUAAAGAUGCUGUAAACACUCCAGAUCAAAAUGUGUAACAGUGCAGACUAAAAUGCUGUUACAUUGUGACCAAAUGUUGCUACACAGUAGAUAAAAAUAUUGUUCAACUGCAAAUGAAAAAUGUUGUCACAGUUGAUAGAAAUAUUGUUACACUGCAGAUGAAAAUUGUAGUAACACUGUAGACCAAAAUGGUGUUACACUGCAGAUCAAAUAAUGUUACACAGCAGAAAGAAUGUUACACUGCAGACAAAAAUGUUGUUACACAACAUACCUGAAGAGUAUUAAACUUUCCACACUGGAUUGUUUUGGGAGUCAUCAUAUUUACAUUUGUAAUUAAAGGGAAGUUCUUCCUAAAUUUAUCAAUGUGUACAUUAAUUUAGCAAGACUUAUUUUUAUUUUCAUUGAAUUCCUUGUACUUCUGGAAGAAAUUUACAUUGAGAUAAAGUUUAGAUUUUAUUCAUAAUUUCAUAUUGUCCUGAUGAAGAAUUUGACAUUUUUACACUGAAUUGCCUUGUUAUAUGAUCAGUUAAAUUAGGCGAGAGAAGAAAGUCACGUGAAAUUUUCAAGUAAACAGAAUAUCUGUAAAUUGGGCUUGGUAUUAUUAUUGUCUUUCCUAAAACCAAUACUUCGCUAUUUCAUUCAGAGAAGUGACAGUCCCUGAAACCAUUUUGUGAGAAAAGUUUAUAUUGUUAGGAUUGGUCUAGCAGUCUUGUUCUUUGUUAGAGAUUGUCAUUGAAAUCAGCUUACUCAUGUUUUAUGAGAAGGGAGGGAAUACUUGCAUACACAGACUGGUUCGCAAACUGUAGAAAUUUUAUUCUUAGACUAUGACACAUGUUGUAGAAUGAUUAGAUUUUUAUCACAUUUAGAAUGUACCAUCAUAAGAAUAUUCAUGACAGACUGUGUCACUUACUGUAGAAAUUUUAUUAGUGUACUGCAUAUUGAUUUACUAUCGGGGUAUGUCAGUCUCUGAAAAUGUUAAUAACAACAAAAAAUUCAGAUAACUUAUUUUUCAGUUUAAGACAUAAAAUGGUAAUAUUUUGCCUAGUUUUCAAUGAAUUCAGUGCUUGAACAGAUAAAUGAAAACCCCCCAAAAGGGGAAAUAUUUAUUUAUUGGACAUUAUUGGCCAGUAGAGUAAUUGUAAAAUGCUAACUCAUGUUGUUUUACAUACCUUAAUGGUGAUUUUUAUGAUCAAAUUGAUAGAUAUGUAAAUAUAGGCUUCUAUAUGGUUCUCUGUUGGUCAUUGAGGAGUGUUUGUUUGUAAAUAAUCAUGCGAAAUAUGAAUAUUCCCAUGGCUUUGAUUGUAAUGUAUACAUAAUAGUAUUUAAACAGCAUUUUGUCUUUCACGUUUGUUGAUUGUUAUUUAAUUGUUUUUCUGCAUGCAUUGAUUUACCAUUAUUCUGUGAGGAUGUGCUUCAAGUUAACAAAAAUUUAUACUAUGAUUCUAGGUCUAUGGUAGCAGUAGUCUCUCUAUAGAAAUACUGACUCGGGAGUUAAAUUAGUUCAUAAUGAUAAAAAGUAUUAACUUGGGAAAAUUUUUACUGGUCCAGAGGUUUUAACUGUUUCUUUAAUUGGAGAGGGAUGAAUAAUGGUUCUUCCAAUAAUGUGAAAUUUGUGGUAUUAGAAUUGUAAAACUUGAUAUUUUGCUUGAUCUGAUCAAAGUUUUAAAGGUUUUUGAACUGGGCAGGACAGUAGUUAUAUUAGUUGUCUUAAAAUUGCAGUAUAGAAAUUAUUGGUAUUUGUUUAAAUCAUUAUGUCUGUUUAAAGGAAAUUAGGUGUCCGGACUGUUUUUAUUUUGAGGUGUCUUUGCGGAUUAUUCCAAAGGUCAUUUAUCAUAGGGCUGUUUUAAUUAUUUAUAGAGGAAUGAAGUUUGCUUUUUGGAGUAAAAUCUGUCUCUUUAUUGUAUAUUAAUCAAGUACAUUCAUAUUUUCACUUCGUAGAAUCAUUAAAUGAACAAUUUGACUGAUUUGUAGUUCGGGUUCAUUUAUUAAUUGUACAUAAACACCACCCACUAUCGGCAGCAUAUUAAAGUGCAGAGGUUAAUAAUUCCAUGUGUGUUCAUUUUUGCCGUAUAUUUAGUCUGGCCCCUAGUUGGCCCCUUUUUCUCAGUAUUGUACAGAUUGUUGUUGAUAUAGAAAACAACUGUUGUCACCCAUCUAACAUAUAGUCAUUAUCGCUUGUCGCAUACUAAUAUGCCACAAUAUUUGUAUUCAUUUGAUCAUAAAUAUUAAUAUUAAAUCCAUCAGUUCAUAAUUAUAUGCAUUGUUAUAGUGUACAGUGUUUAUGAUGUAAUCAACUUAGUAUUCUCUGUGUGUCCAUUCAUGAUAUUUGUGUAUUUUGGUUAAAAUAAUUCAUUAUUUAUCGUCUGUAGCUUAGUUAUUUUUAGUCACUUUGAUCUAAUCAAUGAUUGGUUUGUGUGAAAGUGCAGAUUUUGGUGCUAACCUUCAUAUUACACUAUGUAUAUUUGUCUUGUUUUUCCCACAAUUCUUACUGAUUAAGUGGUUCAUCAGAAUUUGGCGAGUUUUAUUGUAAGCAUUUUUAUAUUAGGAAGAUUUAAAUCUAGCUGUCAUUUUUCCUGCUAGUUUUACUGCCGUUAAUUUCUGUGUUGGUCACAUGUUAAUUUUUUUAAUACAAUACCGGUUUAAAAUUUAACUGGUCUCUUUGCCAGAUUAUUUCUUUAGAACAGAAACUAAGAAGUUGGCAGCCCAUUUGCUAAGCCCAGUAGGUGCUUAUAUAAGAUAGUGAAGUUCAUUUCUCAGGAGAGGAGAGUUUGGUCCCCAGGGGAGGAAAAUUAGAGUGAGUUUGGUUCCUAGGGGAGGAAAGUUGGAGCGAGUUUGGUCCCCAGGGGAGGAAAGUUGGAGUGAGUUUGGUUCCCCAGGGGAGGAAAGUUAGAGUGAGUUUGGUUCCCAGGGGAGGAAAGUUGGAGCGAGUUUGGUCCCCAGGGGAGGAAAGUUGGAGUGAGUUUGGUUCCCAGGGGAGGAAAGUUAGAGUGAGUUUGGUUCCCAGGGGAGGAAAGUUGGAGCGAGUUUGGUCCCCAGGGGAGGAAAGUUGGAGUGAGUUUGGUUCCCAGGAGAGGAAAAUUGGAGCAAGUUUGGUCCCCAGGGGAGGAAAGUUGGAGCGAGUUUGGUCCACAGGGGAGGAAAGUUGGAGCGAGUUUGGUCCCCAGGGGAGGAAAGUUGGAGCGAGUUUGGUCCCCAGGGGAGGAAAGUUGGAGCGAGUUUGGUCCCCAGGGGAGGAAAGUUGGAGCGAGUUUAGUCCCCAGGGGAGGAAAGUUAGGAGCGAGUUUGGUCCCCAGGGGAGGAAAGUUGGUAUGAGUUUGGUCCCCAGAUAUGGGGAGUUCAGUCGGCAGGAGAGGAGAAUGUUCAGAUUGACAAUUUGAUAGAAGACAGAAUGUAUUAAGUCAUUUGUCCUUCCACUCUCAUUCAUGCGGGGAAAUUGUUGGUUACCUUUUUUUCUCUCUGUUUUGUGCAAACUGUAUAAACUCGUUCAAAGGAAAUGUAUGUUUUUUGUUUGUUUGUAAAGCUAGUAGAAUUAUGCCAGUAUAUUUAUGCUUACAGUAUGGGUAUAUCUUUGUUGGUUGAAAGCUUUUGGUUUAAUGGUAGUUGUCUUAGCAGGUUGAUCUUUUAAAAAAAUGUAGGUGGGUUUAAGUUUUUCGCAAAUUACGUAUAUUAUAUUGGCAAUGUUGAUUUAAAUGAUCUUUCGUGCAAAAAGUCCUUCAAAAAUGCUCAAUAGAAAGAAAUACAGAAAAUUUUAAACAGGAUUUUAGUCUCCAAACAUGUGCUUCAAAGAAGCAGAGAACAGUUACAACGUAUUUUGAUCAAAUGACGGUUUAAUUAUGGUUAAUUACAAGCAGAUGGUCUGAAAUUAGGUAGCUUGAGCAGUAUGGAUGCUGAUUGUACAUAUAUAUAAGUUAACAAGUCCCUUGAUAUAGAUAGUAUGUGAAUGAAUGUGAUCGUUCUACUGUUAAUUUCAGGUCUUGUGUAACACAAACCCUGUCAGAUGUCUAUACUUUGAUAAAAAAAAUAGUGAAUUUUUGAAUUCAAAAAGUAAUAUUUGAACUAAAUUUACUACUCAAAUGCCUGUCAAAUUGCGCAGUUUGGUUUAAACAGUAUUUAUUAGAUAUAUCAUGUACAUAAAUAUAUACAGUAACAUUUACAAUCAAAAUGAUGUAAAGGAUCUGAAAACAAGUUUUCCUCUGCGCAUUGCGCAGCUUACAAAUUAAAAGCAAAAAUGUUUUGUGAAUAUGAGUUGGGAAAAUAGAAAAUAUAUAAGAGUAACUAUAGUCUGUAUGCAGAUUUUAACCAAGCUUAGUAUACCAUAUUAAUAAAGCAGAUGCCCUUAUGAUUGGCUUGAAGUGACUGUGAAAUCGUUGAAUUUCACGUGCAUGAAACUUAGGUUUUGGCUUGAAAAAUGUUGAUUUUUUGGGACUAUGAAUUAGUGGAUUUUCUAUUUCAAAGAUGAAGUUACUGUCAGUUUUAUUUGUUCGAUGGGAGUUGGUUUGGGGAUAAAACAACUAGGAAAUCCAUGUAAAUCAGUCUCCCAUGAUUAUUAUGAUUUCACCAUAUUGUGUUACA
rnacentral:misc_RNA from 1 species